GAUGGUUGGUCUUCCUGAACUCUUUGAGCAGGAGCUUUGGACUCUACGAGGUAUUGGGUGCUUGCCCUAUUGAGAGUAUCUUACAUUCUCUCUUCACCAGACAGAUAGACAAAUAGGCAAUCCGAUAGAAAGAUUAUGGCUUCCUUACUAUCAGCAAGCUCCCACAGGCGAUGAACUGCUUCCGACUUCUUCUUCGCUCUUCUCUUUCC
rnacentral:lncRNA from 1 species